rnacentral:rRNA from 1 species
UACAGAGGUGGCAAGCGUUGUUCGGAAUUACUGGGCGUAAAGGGCGCGUAGGCGGUCUUGUCAGUCCCUUGUGAAAUCCCCCGGCUCAACUGGGGAACUGCACGGGAAACAGCAGGGCUUGAGUUCGGGAGAGGGAAGCGGAAUUCCAGGUGUAGCGGUGAAAUGCGUAGAUAUCUGGAGGAACACCGGUGGCGAAGGCGGCAUCCUGGACCGGCAUUGACGCUGAGGCGCGAAAGCCAGGGGAGCAAACGGG